UGUCAUUGUUUUCUUCAGCCUCUUCAAGAUCUUUAAAUAUCUUGUCAUUAAGCUUUGAUGUAUCAUUGAGUGCUUUCUCUAUCUCCCUCACAUUGAUAGCCUUGGUUCUGUUCCUGGUUAUGCAACAACCAAACAGGAUUAGUGACACUGGUGUCCACAGGUUUAGCUUUAUAAAGCACAAUGAAAUGUGCUCUAGAUCAUCGUCGAAGCCUGUGACGUUUUCCAGGAUCCUCUUGAUAUCCUCUAUCAUGUCCUUGAUCUCAUCAGGGGAUUUGGGCAGCUGAAUGGAAAACACAGCAUUGGCCAGUUUCUCAAUGUCCUCUGGCUUCACCAGCUCAUCUGUUAAGUGGGGUCCAGUGGAGUGUUCCCUGCAGUCCAGACAGUCUCCGGUGACCAGGUCACAGAUGUCAG